AGAACUGUGGUGCCGCAGGCUGGGGAGAAGAAACGUUCAGGCCCUGAAAAAAGAAAAAAUAUAAAAAAAUUGGAAAAAAUAAUAAAACCGCUGAUCGAGGAGAGAAAGGCCAGGAAAGGUGAUGUGGGAGAUCCCACGUGUGCUAAGGAUGUGCUGUACUACAUCUUCCUCACCCCCAACCAUCACUGUUGGGACUGGGUGAAAAGGAGCUUCGAAGUGGGGUUCUCUUUUCACUUGCAUCUGAAAGAUCGGACCUGGGCACCUGAAGCCAGCCGCCCCCUGCAUCUCGUCCCACCCGGCUCGCGCUCUCCACCCCCUCCCCCCCCCC